rnacentral:rRNA from 1 species
ACGGGUGAGUAACACGUGAGCAAUCUGCCCUUCACUCGCGGAUAACUACCGGAAACGGUGGCUAAUACGUGAUGCGACCGCUUCCUGCAUGGGAUGGUGGUGGAAAGUUUUGGCGGUGGGGGAUGAGCUCGCGGCCUAUCAGCUUGUUGGUGAGGUAAUGGCUUACCAAGGCUUCGACGGGUAGCCGGCCUGAGAGGGUGACCGGCCACACUGGGACUGAGACACGGCCCAGACUCCUACGGGAGGCAGCAGUGGGGAAUAUUGGACAAUGGGCGAAAGCCUGAUCCAGCAACGCCGCGUGAGGGAUGACGGCCUUCGGGUUGUAAACCUCUUUCAGUACCGACGAAGCGCAAGUGACGGUAGGUACAGAAGAAGCACCGGCCAACUACGUGCCAGCAGCCGCGGUAAUACGUAGGGUGCGAGCGUUGUCCGGAAUUAUUGGGCGUAAAGGGCUCGUAGGCGGUUUGUCACGUCGGGAGUGAAAACUCGGGGCUUAACUCCGAGCCUGCUUCCGAUACGGGCUGACUAGAGGUAUGCAGGGGAGAACGGAAUUCCUGGUGUAGCGGUGAAAUGCGCAGAUAUCAGGAGGAACACCGGUGGCGAACGCGGUUCUCUGGGCAUUACCUGACGCUGAGGAGCGAAAGUGUGGGGAGCAAACAGGAUUAGAUA